rnacentral:ncRNA from 1 species
GUUACAGCUAAAGGGCUUGGUUUUUGUGCGUGCAGUCUAUCGCUGCACGUCCAAACGAAGAGGGAAUUGGGUAAGGAUGCAAAUCCAAAGCUCAAGCCGCCCCCGCGACUGUAAGCGCAGAGCGGAUCUCAACGAUACCACUCGGGCCGAGAUGGCUUGGGGAAGGUCGGGAUCCGCAACGACACGUGAGCCAGGAGACCUGCCGGGCACAAAUGAAACAAA